ensembl:lncRNA C3P1 complement component 3 precursor pseudogene
AGUGGCCCUGGCCGGCUCAGACAGGACUCUGUUCUCUCCAGCUCUCCCAUGAGAAGAACACGGUGCUGGGCUUUCGGGUUCACAGGAUGCUGCAGGCGGAGUUCCUGCAGGCCGCCCUGGUCACCAUCUACGACUACUACGAGCCUUGUACGGACCCUGCCACACCCCUGGCCAUGAAGAAAUUCGUCUCCCAUGCCACUUGCCAUGACUCCCUGGGGUUGCAAGAACAGGAAUCGUACCUCAUCAUGGGCCAGACGUCAGACCUGUGGAGAAUCAAAUCUGAUUACAGCUAUGUUCUGGGCAAGGAGACGUUCCUCAUCCUUUGGCCAGCAGAUGGAGAUGCCAGCAAGAAAGAAUUGCGGGACCAACUGGAGGAAUUUUUGGAAUAUAUGCGCACCCACGGCUGCCAGUCCUGAGCCUCUUCUGCUUUCAGGGAGGUGUCAUCAGGCAGCUCUGGGCCACUGGGUUUAACCCCAAAUAAAGAGCACAGGAUAUGACACCCAAA